GGUUGGGGAUAGCCCAUGGAAACAUGGGGUAAUACCGGAUACGCUCAUUUGGCUAUGGCCGGAUGAGGAAAGGCGCUUCGGCGUCGCCCUGCGAUGAGCCUGCGCCCCAUUAGCUAGUUGGUAGGGUAAAGGCCUACCAAGGCAACGAUGGGUAGCCGGCCUGAGAGGGUGAUCGGCCACACUGGGACUGAGAUACGGCCCAGACUCCUACGGGAGGCAGCAGCUAAGAAUCUUCCGCAAUGGACGAAAGUCUGACGGAGCGACGCCGCGUGGGUGAAGAAGGCCGGAAGGUUGUAAAGCCCUUUUCUCGUUGAGGAAUAAGCACAGGAGGGAAUGCCUGUGUGAUGACGGUAGGCGAGGAAUAAGUCCCGGCCAAUUACGUGCCAGCAGCCGCGGUAACACGUAUGGGACGAGCGUUGUUCGGAAUCAUUGGGCGUAAAGGGCGCGUAGGCGGCGAGGUAAGCCUGGUGUGAAAGACCGCAGCUUAACUGCGGAACCGCGCUAGGAACUGCUUUGCUUGAGUUCAGGAGGGGGAGCUGGAAUUCCAGGUGUAGGGGUGAAAUCUGUAGAUAUCUGGAAGAACACCGGCGGCGAAGGCGAGCUCCUGGCCAUGAACUGACGCUUGAGGCGCGAAAGCGUGGGGAGCGAACAGGAUUAGAUACCCUGGUAGUCCACGCUGUAAACGAUGUGCACUAGGUGUUGGGCCACGAAGGUUCAGUGCCGGAGUCAACGCGUUAAGUGCACCGCCUGGGGAGUAUGCUCGCAAGGGUGAAACUCAAAGGAAUUGACGGGGGCCCGCACAAGCGGUGGAGCAUGUGGUUUAAUUCGAUGAUACGCGAGGAACCUUACCAGGGUUUGACAUAUGCCGGAAUGUGCAGGAGACUGCGCAGCCCUUCGGGGCCGGUAUACAGGUGCUGCAUGGCCGUCGUCAGCUCGUGCCGUGAGGUGUUGGGUUAAGUCCCGCAACGAGCGCAACCCCUACCGUCUGUUGCCAGCAUUCAGUUGGGGACUCAGGCGGAACUGCCGGUGACAAACCGGAGGAAGGUGGGGACGACGUCAGGUCAUCAUGGCCCUUAUAUCCUGGGCUACACACGUGCUACAAUGGCCGGUACAGAGCGAAGCAACACCGCGAGGUAGAGCAAAUCGCAGA
rnacentral:rRNA from 1 species